UGGGGAAUAUUGGACAAUGGGCGAAAGCCUGAUCCAGCAAUGCCGCGUGGAGGAUGAAGGUCCUCUGGAUUGUAAACUUCUUUUAUCUGGGAAGAAACCCAACUUUUCUAAGGUGGUUGACGGUACCAGAUGAAUAAGCACCGGCUAACUCCGUGCCAGCAGCCGCGGUAAUACGGAGGGUGCAAGCGUUAUCCGGAUUCACUGGGUUUAAAGGGUGCGUAGGUGGGUUGGUAAGUCCGUGGUGAAAUCUCCGAGCUUAACUCGGAAACUGCCGUGGAUACUAUCAAUCUUGAAUAUCGUGGAGGUAAGCGGAAUAUGUCAUGUAGCGGUGAAAUGCUUAGAUAUGACAUAGAACACCGAUAGCGGAGGCAGCUUGCUACACGAUCAUUGACACUGAGGCACGAAAGCGUGGGGAGCAAA
rnacentral:rRNA from 1 species